rnacentral:rRNA from 1 species
GGCCUAUCAGCUUGUUGGUGAGGUAAUGGCUUACCAAGGCGACGACGGGUAGCCGGCCUGAGAGGGUGACCGGCCACACUGGGACUGAGAUACGGCCCAGACUCCUACGGGAGGCAGCAGUGGGGAAUAUUGCACAAUGGGCGCAAGCCUGAUACAGCAACGCCGCGUGAGGGAUGACGGCCUUCGGGUUGUAAACCUCUUUUGGUAGGGAAGAAGCUUUCGAGUGACGGUACCUGCAGAAAAAGCACCGGCUAACUACGUGCCAGCAGCCGCGGUAAUACGUAGGGUGCAAGCGUUGUCCGGAAUUAUUGGGCGUAAAGAGCUCGUAGGCGGUUUGUCGCGUCUGCUGUGAAAUCCCGAGGCUCAACCUCGGACGUGCAGUGGGUACGGGCAGGCUUGAGUGCGGUAGGGGAGAUUGGAAUUCCUGGUGUAGCGGUGGAAUGCGCAGAUAUCAGGAGGAACACCGAUGGCGAAGGCAGAUCUCUGGGCCGCUACUGACGCUGAGGAGCGAAAGCAUGGGGAGCGAACAGGAUUAGAUACCCUGGUAGUCCAUGCCGUAAACGUUGGGAACUAGAUGUAGGGGCCUUUCCACGGCUUCUGUGUCGACGCUAACGCAUUAAGUUCCCCGCCUGGGGAGUACGGCCGCAAGGCUAAAACUCAAAGGAAUUGACGGGGGCCCGCACAAGCGGCGGAGCAUGCGGAUUAAUUCGAUGCAACGCGAAGAACCUUACCAAGGCUUGACAUAUACGAGAACACUGUAGAGAUACAGGACUCUUUGGACACUCGUAUACAGGUGGUGCAUGGUUGUCGUCAGCUCGUGUCGUGAGAUGUUCGGUUAAGUCCGGCAACGAGCGCAACCCUCGCCCUAUGUUGCCAGCACGUUAUGGUGGGAACUCAUGGGAUACUGCCGUGGUCAACACGGAGGAAGGUGGGGAUGACGUCAAAUCAUCAUGCCCCUUAUGUCUUGGGCUUCACGCAUGCUACAAUGGCCGGCACAAUGGGCAGCGAUACCGUGAGGUGGAGCGAAUCCAAAAAACCGGUCUCAGUUCGGAUUGGGGUCUGCAACUCGACCCCAUGAAGUCGGAGUCGCUAGAAUCG